CAUCCGCGUGAGUGAAGAAGGCCUUCGGGUUGUAAAGCUCUUUCGCAAGGGAAGAAAACUUAUGAUCGAAUAAAUCAUGAGGUUGACGGUACCUUGAUAAGAAGCACCGGCUAACUACGUGCCAGCAGCCGCGGUAAUACGUAGGGUGCGAGCGUUAAUCGGAAUUACUGGGCGUAAAGCGUGCGCAGGCGGUUUUGUAAGUCGGAUGUGAAAUCCCCGGGCUCAACCUGGGAACUGCGUUCGAAACUGCAAGGCUAGAGUGUGUCAGAGGGGGGUAGAAUUCCACGUGUAGCAGUGAAAUGCGUAGAGAUGUGGAGGAAUACCAAUGGCGAAGGCAGCCCCCUGGGAUAACACUGACGCUCAUGCACGAAAGCGUGGGGAGCAAACAGGAUUAGAUACCCUGGUAGUCCACGCCCUAAACGAUGUCAACUAGUUGUUGGUAGAGUAAAAUCUAUGAGUAACGUAGCUAACGCGUGAAGUUGACCGCCUGGGGAGUACGGUCGCACGAUUCAAACUCACAGGAAUUGACGGGGGCCCGCACAAGCGGUGGAUUCUGUGGAUUAAUUCGAUGCAACGCGAAAAACUUACCUGGCCUUGACCUGUACCGAAUUGAGCCGAGAUGUUCACGUGCUCGCAAGAGAACGGUAC
rnacentral:rRNA from 1 species